AGGGGACCCCGCAGGAAGAAAAACACCGACGCUGCAGAGCUUCUUCAUCCGUAAAAUAGCGAUGAUGAAAUGACAGUACCCAUCUCAAUGCUGCUUUGAAGCUUGAAUGAUGUAAGGCAUGAAAGGACUUUGAAAAUUCCUGGCGGAUCGUAAGCAUUCCGCUCCACGCCCCACAUGAAGCUCAAACUCGACCACCCUGAGAUCAAGAGUCGCGUGCUCUACCACGGAGCCAGCCAGGCACCUCUAGAGGCUACAUUUUAGAAGAUUUCCAGGGGAUGUAUUUGUUUGCGCAUUCAAGUUGGUGAGCCGCUGAGUGCCACUGCUUGCCUUUUGUUUGCUUUGUAAAUUUUCAGACCAAAAAAUGAAUUUAAAGCUUUGGGCGGUGAUUCUCAGCUUGGGUUGCACAUUAGAAUCACAUGGGGGACUCUUAACAUUCCUUUGCCGUGGCCAAACCCCAAGUCAGGUUCUUCACGAGGGACCACUAGCAUCUGCACCUUUAAAGCUCCCCAGGGGAUCUCAGCAGGUAGCCGAGUUUGAGCCACUCUGGUGGGACCAGAGUCACUGGUUCUCAGGAGAACACUGCUUGGAGGAACCCACUUUUUGGCAGAAAGGAAUUCCAGCAGUUCUGCAAGGAGCACAGAGCAUCCAUUCUCUUGGAAAGCCUUCCAGCACCUCUCACCGUGUCUUAUUCCUGGGUCAGCAC